rnacentral:rRNA from 1 species
UACGUAGGUGGCAAGCGUUAUCCGGAUUUAUUGGGCGUAAAGGGAUCGCAGGCGGUCUUUUAAGUCUGAUGUGAAAGCCUUCGGCUUAACCGGAGUAGUGCAUUGGAAACUGGGAGACUUGAGUGCAGAAGAGGAGAGUGGAACUCCAUGUGUAGCGGUGAGAUGCGUAGAUAUAUGGAAGAACACCAGUGGCGAAAGCGGCUCUCUGGUCUGUAACUGACGCUGAGGUUCGAAAGCGUGGGUAGCAAACAGG